UACGAAGGUGGCAAGCGUUACUCGGAAUUACUAGGCGUAAAGGGCAGGUAGGCGGUUUGAUAAGUCCGUUGUGAAAGCUCCCGGCUUAACCGGGGAGAGGUCAACAGAUACUGUCGAACUUGAGUAUGGGAGAGGGUACUGGAAUUCCUGGUGUAGCGGUGAAAUGCGCAGAUAUCAGGAGGAACACCGAUGGCGAAAGCAGGUACCUGGACCAUUACUGACGCUCAGCUGCGAAAGCUAGGGGAGCAAACAGG
rnacentral:rRNA from 1 species